UACGUAGGUGUCGAGCGUUGUCCGGAUUUAUUGGGCGUAAAGAGCCCGCAGGCGGCUUUGGCAAGUUUGGGGUGAAAUCUCCCGGCUCAACUGGGAGGGUGCCCUGAAAACUGUCAGGCUUGAGUCAUGGAGAGGGAUGUGGAAUUCCUGGUGUAGCGGUGGAAUGCGCAGAUAUCAGGAGGAACACCGAUGGCGAAGGCAGAUCUCUGGGCCGUAACUGACGCUGAGGCACGAAAGCGUGGGGAGCAAACAGG
rnacentral:rRNA from 1 species